GCUGCUAUGGUGAAAUUGGUAGACACGCCGCUCUUAUGAAGUAGUGCUAAUGUAUCUCGGUUCGAGUCCGAGUAGCGGCA
rnacentral:tRNA from 1 species